AUUGAACGCUGGCGGCAUGCUUUACACAUGCAAGUCGAACGGUAACAGGCCGCAAGGUGCUGACGAGUGGCGAACGGGUGAGUAAUGCAUCGGAACGUGCCCAGUCGUGGGGGAUAACGCAGCGAAAGCUGCGCUAAUACCGCAUACGAUCUCUGGAUGAAAGCGGGGGACCGAAAGGCCUCGCGCGAUUGGAGCGGCCGAUGUCAGAUUAGGUAGUUGGUGGGGGAAAGGCCCACCAAGCCAACGAUCUGUAGCUGGUCUGAGAGGACGACCAGCCACACUGGGACUGAGACACGGCCCAGACUCCUACGGGGAGCAGCAGUGGGGAAGUUUGGACAAUGGGCGCAAGCCUGAUCCAGCAAUGCCGCGUGCAGGAAGAAGGCCUUCGGGUUGUAAACUGCUUUUGUACGGAACGAAACGGUCCGGGUUAAUACCCUGGGCUAAUGACGGUACCGUAAGAAUAAGCACCGGCUAACUACGUGCCAGCCGCCGCCGUAAGAC
rnacentral:rRNA from 1 species